AAGAUGGCGUAAGCUAUCGCUUUUGGAUGGACCCGCGGCGUAUUAGCUAGUUGGUGAGGUAAUGGCUCACCAAGGCGAUGAUACGUAGCCGAACUGAGAGGUUGAUCGGCCACAUUGGGACUGAGACACGGCCCAAACUCCUACGGGAGGCAGCAGUAGGGAAUCUUCCACAAUGGACGCAAGUCUGAUGGAGCAACGCCGCGUGAGUGAAGAAGGCUUUCGGGUCGUAAAACUCUGUUGUUGGAGAAGAAUGGUCGGCAGAGUAACUGUUGUCGGCGUGACGGUAUCCAACCAGAAAGCCACGGCUAACUACGUGCCAGCAGCCGCGGUAAUACGUAGGUGGCAAGCGUUAUCCGGAUUUAUUGGGCGUAAAGCGAGCGCAGGCGGUUUUUUAAGUCUGAUGUGAAAGCCCUCGGCUUAACCGAGGAAGCGCAUCGGAAACUGGGAAACUUGAGUGCAGAAGAGGACAGUGGAACUCCAUGUGUAGCGGUGAAAUGCGUAGAUAUAUGGAAGAACACCAGUG
rnacentral:rRNA from 1 species